GAGCUGCGAUAAGUAAUGUGAAUUGCAGAACUCAGUGAAUCAUCGAGUCUUCGAACGCACAUUGCGCCCCCUGGCACUCCGGGGGGCACGCCUGUCCGAGCGUCGUCGACGAUCCCUCGGGCCUCCCCGUGCCGGGAGGCCCGGCCUUGGGCCUCCAACGCCCCCGUGUGGGUGGGCCCGCAAGCCAUCGACCGGCUGUCCCUGGGGGCCCCGAGCGCAGCGGCUGUGUUCUCCACUUGCUCGAGGAGGCCCCCCGGGUCGUGACCCCGCCGGCGCGAAAGCCCCCCUGGGGCCGCGUGAACGCGUCGUCCCCAGCGCCCGUUGACCUCGGAUCAGGCGGGGUUACCCGCUGAACUUAAGC
rnacentral:misc_RNA from 1 species